rnacentral:misc_RNA from 1 species
AGCAGCCGCGGUAAUUCCAGCUCCAAUAGCGUAUAUUAAAGUUGUUGCAGUUAAAAAGCUCGUAGUUGAAUUUCGGGAUCAAUACGUCGGUCGUGCUUCGGUACGUACUGGCGUAAUUGAUUUCUCCCUUCUGACGAACCAUGAUGUCAUUAACUUGGUGUCAUGGGAAAUCAGGACUGUUACUUUGAAAAAUUAGAGUGUUUAAAGCAGGCUCACGCUUGAAUACAUUAGCAUGGAAUAAUGAAAUAGGACGUUCGAUCCUAUUUUGUUGGUUUUUAGGAUCAACGUAAUGAUUAAUAGGGAUAGUUGGGGGCAUUAGUAUUCAAUUGUCAGAGGUGAAAUUCUUGGAUUUAUUGAAGACUAACUACUGCGAAAGCAUUUGCCAAGGAUGUUUUCAUUAAUCAAGAACGAAAGUUAGGGGAUCGAAGACGAUCAGAUACCGUCGUAGUCUUAACCAUAAACUAUGCCGACUAGGGAUCGGAUGAUGUUAAUUUUUAAUGUACUCAUUCGGCGCCUUAAC